AGGGGCCUACGGGGCGCAGCAGUGGGGGAUAUUGCACAAUGGGGGGAACCCUGAUGCAGCGACGCCGCGUGGGUGAAGAAGCGCCUCGGCGCGUAAAGCCCUGUCAGCAGGGAAGAAAAUGACGGUACCUGAAGAAGAAGCCCCGGCUAACUACGUGCCAGCAGCCGCGGUAAUACGUAGGGGGCAAGCGUUAUCCGGAAUGAUUGGGCGUAAAGGGUGCGCAGGCGGUCCUGCAAGUCUGGAGUGAAACGCAUGAGCUCAACUCAUGCAUGGCUUUGGAAACUGGAGGACUGGAGAGCAGGAGG
rnacentral:rRNA from 1 species